rnacentral:rRNA from 1 species
UACGUACCGUACGAACGUUAUUCGGAAUUACUGGGCUUAAAGGGUUUGUAGGCGGCCUUGUAAGUCAGGUGUGAAAGCCCUCGGCUCAACCGAGGAAUAGCGCUUGAUACUGCAAGGCUUGAGGGAGACAGGGGUAAGCGGAACUGAUGGUGGAGCGGUGAAAUGCGUUGAUAUCUGAAGGAACAUCAGUGGCGAAAGCGACUUCCUGGACCAAUACUGACGCUCAUGUGCGAAAGCGUGGGGAGCAAACAGG